CAGGGAAACUUGUGCUAAUACCGCAUGAUGCAUACGAAAGACAUCUUUAGUAUGUUAAAGGAGCAAUCCGCACAAAGAUGGGCUCGCGUCUGAUUAGAUAGUUGGUGGGGUAACGGCCUACCAAGUCGACGAUCAGUAGCCGGACUGAGAGGUUGAACGGCCACAUUGGAACUGAGAAACGGUCCAGACUCCUACGGGAGGCAGCAGUGGGGAAUAUUGGGCAAUGGGCGAAAGCCUGACCCAGCGACGCCGCGUGAGGGAAGAAGGUCUUCGGAUUGUAAACCUUUGUAGACAGGGAAGAAGAAAGUGACGGUACCUGUAAAGUAAGCCACGGCUAACUACGUGCCAGCAGCCGCGGUAAUACGUAGGUGGCAAGCGUUAUCCGGAUUUACUGGGUGUAAAGGGUGUGUAGGCGGGGAAACAAGUCAGAUGUGAAAUGCCAAGGCUAAACCAUGGAGCUGCAUUUGAAACUGUUUUUCUUG
rnacentral:rRNA from 1 species